rnacentral:rRNA from 1 species
ACGUAGGGAGCAAGCGUUAUCCGGAUUUAUUGGGUGUAAAGGGUGCGUAGGCGGGAAGGCAAGUUGAAUGUGAAAUACCGGGGCUCAAAUCCGGGGCUGCGUUCAAAACUGUUUUUCUUGAGUACAGCAGAGGCAAGCGGAAUUCCCAGUGUAGCGGUAGAAUGCGUAGAUAUUGGGAGGAAUACCGAUGGCGAAGGCUGCUUACUGGGCUGUAACUGACGCUGAGGCACGAAAGUGUGGGGAGCAAACAG